AGUCGCGGGAAUAACCUGUACUAACAUUAUCUGGGGUUGUGAUUUUUUGUUGCAAUCCAAUUGUUAAGGUCACAUGCAAUUGAUGAGUUAGUCUUGAUAGCAUUUUUUUUUUUUUUUUUUUUUAAUACGCUUAAUACGGCCCUUGGAAUUGGAUCCAAGGCGUUGAUAGCAAAAUUGACGAAUUGAAAUGUGGAUUUUAUUAGGAAAGCGAUGUAUUAUUAGAUAGAGCAUCAGCAGCUGGG
rnacentral:misc_RNA from 1 species